CAGUCGCCGCGGUAAUACGUAAGGGGCGAGCGUUGUUCGGAAUUAUUGGGCGUAAAGGGCAUGUAGGCGGUUGUAUAAGCCUGAUGUGAAAUCCUGAGGCUUAACCUCAGAAUAGCAUUGGGUACUGUAUGGCUUGAAUUACGGAAGGGAACUGGAAUUCCAAGUGUAGGGGUGGAAUCUGUAGAUAUUUGGAAGAACACCGGUGGCGAAGGCGGGUUUCUGGCCGAUAAUUGACGCUGAGAUGCGAAAGUGUGGGGAUCGAACAGGAUUAGAUACCCCCGUAGUCCCUGUCUCUUAUACA
rnacentral:rRNA from 1 species